UGUAGCUCAGAGGCAGAGCAGCUGAUUCGUAAUCAGCUGGUCGGGAGUUCGACUCUCCCCA
rnacentral:tRNA from 1 species